AAUAAUAAUAAUAAUGAAUAAAAAAUAAUAAUAAUAAUAAUUUAUAGAGAGAGAACAGAAAGGAUAAGAGAAAGGGGUGAGAGAGUGGCCAUCAAUUUUUGCACAGCCUUCACAAAAAAAGGACCUGUCUUUAC